UGGCCCGCGGUGCAUUAGCUAGUUGGUAAGGUAAAGGGCUUACCAAGGCGAUGAUGCAUAGCCCGAGUUGAGAGACUGAUCGGGCCACAUUGGGGACUGAGACACGGGCCCAAACUCCUACGGGAGGCAGCAGUAGGGAAUCUUCCACAAUGGACGCAAGUCUGAUGGAGCAAACGCCGCGUGAGUGAAGAAGGGUUUUCGGGUCGUAAAGACUCUGUUGUUGGUGAAGAAGGAUAGAGGUAGUAACUGGCCCUUUAUUUGACGGUAAUCAACCAGAAAGUCACGGGCUAACUACGUGCCAGCAGCCGCGGUAAAU
rnacentral:rRNA from 1 species